rnacentral:rRNA from 1 species
CACUCCUACGGGAGGCAGCAGUGGGGAAUAUUGCACAAUGGGCGCAAGCCUGAUGCAGCGACGCCGCGUGGGGGAUGAAGGCCUUCGGGUUGUAAACUCCUUUCGCUAGGGACGAAGCUUUUUUGUGACGGUACCUAGAUAAGAAGCACCGGCUAACUACGUGCCAGCAGCCGCGGUAAUACGUAGGGUGCGAGCGUUGUCCGGAAUUACUGGGCGUAAAGGGCUCGUAGGUGGUUUGUCGCGUCGUCUGUGAAAUUCUGGGGCUUAACUCCGGGCGUGCAGGCGAUACGGGCAUAACUUGAGUGCUGUAGGGGUAACUGGAAUUCCUGGUGUAGCGGUGAAAUGCGCAGAUAUCAGGAGGAACACCGAUGGCGAAGGCAGGUUACUGGGCAGUUACUGACGCUGAGGAGCGAAAGCAUGGGUAGCGAACAGGAUUAGAAACCCUGGUAGUCCCAUGA